UACGGAGGGUGCAAGCAUUGAUCGGAAUUACUGGGCGUAAAGGGCGCGUAGGCGGCCAGAAAAGUCAGAUGUGAAAUUCCGGGGCUCAACCCCGGAGCUGCAUUUGAAACUUUUUGGCUAGAGUACAGUUAGGGAAAACGGAAUUCCACGUGUAGCGGUGAAACGCGUAGAUAUGUGGAAGAACACCGGUGGUGAAGACGGUUUUCUGGGCUGUAACUGACGCUGAGGCGCGAAAGCUAGGGGAGCAAACAGG
rnacentral:rRNA from 1 species